AUCCGACUUGUAUCAUUGAUAAUAAUAGGGACGGAACCGCUAUGGCAAGGCAAAGUUUGAUUCAGAGGGAAAAGAAAAGGCACAAAUUGGAACAAAAAAUAUCAUUUGAUUCGUCGAUCCUCAAAAAAAGAAAUAAACAAAGCUCCAUCGUUGAGCGAUAAAUGGAAAAUUCAUGGAAAGUUACAAUCCUCACCGCGUAAUAGUGCACCUACCCGUCUUCAUCGACGUUGUUUUUUGACCGGAAGGCCGAGAGCUAACUAUCGAGACUUUGGACUAUCCGGACACAUACUUCGUGAAAUGGUUCAUGCGUGUUUGUUGCCGGGGGCAACAAGAUCAAGUUGGUAAGGAUUAAAAUAUCCUUCAUUUUUCUUUUUUCGAUUGGAUUUCUAUGAUCUAUCAUCAUAGAGGCGGCCCCUUUACCAUUCUGUACAAAUAGGCUAUUCUAUUUGUACGGGUAUGGAAAAGGGGCGCAUUCAAUCCUUGUUUGUUUCUUAGUUCUUCCCAGUCCUUCUCUUCAUCGCGGGGUAGAGCAGUUUGGUAGCUCGCAAGGCUCAUAACCUUGAGGUCACGGGUUCAAAUCCCGUCUCCGCAACAUUUUUUAUUUUUUGACAAAAAAAUGAGGUUUGAUUCUGUUAACUAUUAAUUAGCACUUUUCUCUUUUUUUUUUUUUUUUUCUUGGGGUGGAAAGAUAGAACCGCUAUACUAUCACGGUCAACUAUAAGAAGUCGGUUUUUUUUAUCCUAUUAACUAAGAAGUCGUUUAUCCUAUUAACUAAGAAGUCGUUUAUCCUAUUAACUACAUUACUUUACCUUGGCGGAUAGCGGGAAUCGAACCCGCGUCUUCUCCUUGGCAAAGAGAAAUUUUACCAUUCGACUAUAUCCGCAUUUUUUCCUUGAAAUGGCUGGAAAAUCUUUAUCCAGAGUUAGGCCAGAUACUCUCUUCAGGGUAAUUCCAUCAAAUUCCACUACCAAACCAAUUUAAAUGAAAGCCAAGUACAUAUUGCAAUUUUCAAUAUUAAUUAAUAUUAAUUAAUAUUCAUUAUUGAAUAGUUUUCAAUAUUUUAUUUCUAUUAAUUAUUAUAUUACUAUUUAUUUCUAAUAUAUAGAUAUUUUUCUAUUAAUAAUAUAUAUUUCUAUUAAUUAUUAGAUAAUUAUAUUAUCUUUAUCAGAAUUCUAUUAAAUAGAUUCUAAUUAUCUAAUAAUUAAUAGAAAUAUAUAUUAUUAAUAGAAAAAUAUCUAUAUAUUAGAAAUAAAUAGUAAUAUAAUAAUUAAUAGAAAUAAAAUAUUGAAAACUAUUCAAUAAUGAAUAUUAAUUAAUAUUAAUUAAUAUUGAAAAUUGCAAUAUGUACUUGGCUUUCAUUUAAAUUGGUUUGGUAGUGGAAUUUGAUGGAAUUACCCUGAAGAGAGUAUCUGGCCUAACUCUGGAUAAAGAUUUUCCAGCCAUUUCAAGGAAAAAAUGCGGAUAUAGUCGAAUGGUAAAAUUUCUCUUUGCCAAGGAGAAGACGCGGGUUCGAUUCCCGCUAUCCGCCAAGGUAAAGUAAUGUAGUUAAUAGGAUAAACGACUUCUUAGUUAAUAGGAUAAACGACUUCUUAGUUAAUAGGAUAAACGACUUCUUAUAGUUGACCGUGAUAGUAUAGCGGUUCUAUCUUUCCACCCCAAGAAAAAAAAAAAAAAAAAAGAGAAAAGUGCUAAUUAAUAGUUAACAGAAUCAAACCUCAUUUUUUUGUCAAAAAAUAAAAAAUGUUGCGGAGACGGGAUUUGAACCCGUGACCUCAAGGUUAUGAGCCUUGCGAGCUACCAAACUGCUCUACCCCGCGAUGAAGAGAAGGACUGGGAAGAACUAAGAAACAAACAAGGAUUGAAUGCGCCCCUUUUCCAUACCCGUACAAAUAGAAUAGCCUAUUUGUACAGAAUGGUAAAGGGGCCGCCUCUAUGAUGAUAGAUCAUAGAAAUCCAAUCGAAAAAAGAAAAAUGAAGGAUAUUUUAAUCCUUACCAACUUGAUCUUGUUGCCCCCGGCAACAAACACGCAUGAACCAUUUCACGAAGUAUGUGUCCGGAUAGUCCAAAGUCUCGAUAGUUAGCUCUCGGCCUUCCGGUCAAAAAACAACGUCGAUGAAGACGGGUAGGUGCACUAUUACGCGGUGAGGAUUGUAACUUUCCAUGAAUUUUCCAUUUAUCGCUCAACGAUGGAGCUUUGUUUAUUUCUUUUUUUGAGGAUCGACGAAUCAAAUGAUAUUUUUGUUCCAAUUUGUGCCUUUUCUUUUCCCUCUGAAUCAAACUUUGCCUUGCCAUAGCGGUUCCGUCCCUAUUAUUAUCAAUGAUACAAGUCGGAUCCUAGAUGUAGAAAUAUAGCUGUUAGAAAUAUAAGAAGGCAUACCCCUUCUCUACCGAAAGAAAUGAUAUUAUCGCGCGGAUACAAGACAGAAAGAAUUAACCAAAUUUGCCCGAUGUAGAGGCAAUCAAGAAAGCCGCAUAAGUGAAUAUAUAACCUACAGAGAA
rnacentral:lncRNA from 1 species